rnacentral:rRNA from 1 species
GCCUGCCCAGUGAUAACAUUUAACGGCCGCGGUAUCCUAACCGUGCAAAGGUAGCGCAAUCACUUGUUCUUUAAAUAAGGACUAGUAUGAACGGCGACAUGAGGUCCUACUUGUCUCACAUGAUAAGCCUACGAAACUGAUCUUCCAGUCCAAAAGCUGGAAUAAACCCACAAGACGAGAAGACCCUGUGGAGCUUCAAACUACAACUUAUCAAAAUAAGCCCAUAGUUUUUAGUUGGGGCGACUUUGGAGCAAAACAAAACCUCCAAACCUUCACACUUCAGGCCAACACGCCUAGACAUCUGCUACUUUGACCCAAUCCAAUUGAUCAAUGAACCAAGUUACCCCAGGGAUAACAGCGCAAUCUUCUUCUAGAGUCCCUAUCGACAAGAAGGUUUACGACCUCGAUGUUGGAUCAGGAUACCCAAAUAGUGCAGCCGCCAUUAAAGGUUCGUUUGUUCAACGAUUAAUAAUCCUACGUGAUCUGAGUUCAGACCGG